GAUAUCUGUUAUAGCCUUGUUUUCAAAGUAGGAACACGGAAUGCAGUGUUUAAAAAAGUGCACACAGUAACUAGACAUCUUAGCUACACUCAAUUCUUGCUAUGUUUUGGGUCAUAUGGAUGCAGUGGAAGGGUUGUCAGAGGCAAUCCAGUGCUUCCACUGUUACACCCACACCAUCCCAGCUCAGCCCUAGUUCCAUUUAGCAGCACUAAUGAUGGUAUCAGGAGGACAGCUCCCCCCCCCCAUCACACACGCUGCUACAGCUUUUAUCUAGGCUGAGCCCAUAUUGUUUAAUUGGUUGUUAUUAUUUAAAUUAAAUUUCUGACACACCCUUCCUUCCAAAUGAACACAGGGCAGCAAAGUAGCAAAGCAAUACAUUUACAAAUAAUUUAAAAACCCCACACACAUUUUAAAACAAUUAAAACUGUCUUAAUUAGUGCAAUAAAGGCUCAAAUUAGUAUUUGCUGCUCUAUGUCUGAUAGCUGCUUUGCUUUAAAAUUUGCCUCAAAUACUUAGGAAGUUAACACAGUUUUUACUGCCUCCCAUUUGGGUGGUACCAGUUGAUAUUUGAUGGUUCAGCUCCCCUUUAUUGCUAAGCCAAAGGCCAUUGCCAAUCAUUCAGGAGUACAAUAGGAAAGAAAACACAGAACGCUGCUCAAAAUAUUAUAAAUAUCACAAUGCGUUGCAAUAUCAGAUCUUUUCCAAUAAUAAAAAAACUAUUAAACUCAUUAGAGAAAUGAGUCAUAAUUAUAAAUGCUCAUUUAUAAUUCAUUCAGCACUACUAUCUGGAAUGCUUUACUCUACUUUAUUAGGAAGGAAAGGAAGCAGAUUUGCUGGGGAUAAGAAACCCCACUAACCUUACAACCUCCCCCAUUUUGUUCAAUAGUGCUGUUGUUUUCUGCUAUGGGUUCUAUGGAGACCAGGGGUGGAGGUUCAUUCACGGCUUCCCUCCUCAGAUCACCCUGUUCUUUUUGAGAUGACAGACAUGGGGGGAAAUAUAUACCUGAACCUUUUUUGAAUAUUAAUUCCCACAAUCACUCCUCAUCUGCAGGAAGGUAAGAAAACAGAAAGGUGGUGAGGUUGGAAGACAAGAACAUGAGAUAGCAUGGGAUGCUGGGUAAAGCACCGUUUUGGGGACAGCCUUGGAGUUGGUGGAAAUAACAGGGAGGGGAAGUGCCAUUUUACAGUUUGCCUCAGGUGCCAAAAUGUCUUGGACCAGCCCUUCCUGUCCCACAAACAAUGGAUCAUGGGAGAAAUCUCUCCCACAGUCCCAAACAGAAAUACUGUCUCUCUCACCAUUUUUUUCUGUUACCUUCUGACUCGUCUCUACCCUAGCUGACAUUUUGGUGGCAGCUUCUUUUUCAUAAUCCCAGACUACAUAGUCCCUGCCAACGUGCACAUCAAAGAAACUUGUCUGCCAGGCACUCCAUGAUAACGCCCAAUUUUGCCAAGAUCCUGUUUUAAUGAUCCAUGCAUGCACACACAAAUACACACAGUUGGAGAGAAGUCACAUGAGAAUUGAUUGCAUACAAUCAGUUGUCAUUGCAAAGAGCAGCUUGCUAAUUCAGAAGAGGUAGAUGACAGCAGCAAAAGUAAUGGGGAGGGGACUCACCUUCCCUUCUUUGUCUCAUGCCGUUGCUGCUUCUCUCUGUCUUCCCCAGUGCCUUUGAGACUUUAAGGGAGAAAGGGAAGGAACAAAUGCAAGACCUGGUGGAGGAGAUAUCUCUAAGUGCACAAAACAAUACAUUUAACAGCCUCAAUAUGUUUUGAUUAAAAUCUGUGUCAGGGAUACAGUAAAACAAUAAUGCUUUAUGUUCUCAAAUAACACUUUGAGAACACUUUCUGAUUACAGCACCCUGAAAAAGAUUUUUAUUGAAACGUAUUAAGUAUAAUAAAUUACUGUUUGGUGCACAUAGGGCUCCAUUUCUUCCCACUUUUCCCCUCAUAGUGAUUCUUCACCUUAAUGGCUAUAUUAUUUAGGCAUCUAUCACAAAAGAUUCCCACAGUCCAUCGAAUCCUAUAAAUUCAAGAAUGUGGCCAGAGGGAAAGAAAGUGUUUGGGGAUUAAAAAAACCAAAAAAGCAGCAAAAGCUAGAGUUUAAUGCAGUAAAAUGACACCAGUAUAUCUUCAUUACUUCCAUGGUUGCUCCUCUGCCCCAAAAUGUAUUAAAUAAAUACUCAAGAUGAACAAACAACAAAAACUUCCAAAAUUUAAACAGAAAAACAUUCACUCUGCAAAACUGGAGAUGUUUGUUGGAUUUUACGGCACCUCUUCCAUCUGUUAUAAAUUGGAUGCAAUACUUUUCUAAAAUGUUGUUUUUUCUAUUGUUCGUACAUGUCCUGCCUUCCCCCCUUGUUGUUGCUAAAGCUUUAUGCUUUUCCUUCAUUCAGUUCAUUCACUUCUCUUUAGAUGUUUGCAAUCUUUCAAGAGAGGAUACAUUAAUGUAAGAAUAAUAGACACUAGACAUAAUCCAGCACAGAAUUAGGCAUGACUAAACCUAUUGAAAUCAAUGGGCUUGAACACAUUCCCACUAUGUGCUGGGUUGUUCCCAUUGUAUAGCUGAACUGUCUGUUGCACACUAUAGGAUUUAGUUCUGUAACAGCUGUUUAAAAAUAGUCACACACUGUAGAAAAGGCAUUAAUAAACUUGCUGUAAGAGACUGGGCCUAGUAUUUGCAAACCCUAGAAUGCCUUAUCAGAAAAUUCUGGUUUGUAUUAUCUAUACAGACAAUGGAGAACCAUAUCCAUUGUUUUCUCCAUAGUAAGUUACAAUGCAGGUAGCAAUAUUUUGAAAUUAUUCCUCUGCAACUAACCAGAACAUUUUUUGCAGCUCAACUUCAAGGCUGAUGUUCAAUGAAGAGUUGGGGAGGGGGUGUUGCUACAGUCCAGUCCAGCCACUCUCACAUUCCAAAAUAAUACUUGUUAGUGUGUACAAGUUGUAUGCCACUGUUCCCCAGUAAUCAACUAAAAAUUUACCAGCUGUUUGA